UAAUUAUUUAUUUAUCUUUCACCGGAAUGUAGGCUAGUUUUAAGUAUGUAUCUUAGAUUAUCGGUUUGAUAGAAUUCGCACACAUAUAUAUAUUUCUGACACUGUAACCUUCAUUUCUUUAAUAAUACAAUAUUGUAUGCUUUAUGUAUUCGUUAAACUAUUAGUUUUUGACAUCAUGUAUACUUAUAUUUCAUAAAUUGAUAAUAUUGUAUUUAUAGCAUAGUAUUGGAAGCACUGUCUCUAAUAUUUAUUAGGUUAUUACAUGUUCGGCAUAUAUGUUUAUACUUAUAUGUAACUCUCCAAAUUGAUUGAUUGAAAUAUAUAUAUAUAUAUAUAUAUAUUCCUGGCGUUUCAAUUAUUUUCCCCUUUUGUAGUUAUUCUUAUUUUCUGGUUUAUUUAGAAUUGUUUGUAUUAUGUAUUUUGUUUAUUGGUUGGAUUUAUUAGUCGCCCUCGUUUUGUUAAUCCUUCCUUUCGUUUCGUGGUGCCGCGUGUUCGUUUGUGCAUUCAAAUCCUUAUUCGCGUGUUUUGUAUAGAAUGGUUUUCUUGUUCUUGUUACGGCGCGUGCGGAGCGCGGGACGUGACACCCUCGCCCUUGGAGUUCAAAUUUCCAUAGGAAAUUUGACUGAUGGUAUCUUUUAGUUCGCUCAAGGCGGACGCAGGUGUCGUUGGUAGUUGAAUUACUACCGGUGUUAUCGAUAUCUCUUGAGGUUGUGCUGUUUGAUCAUCGAUAUUUCGUCUUCUUUUGAGGUAUAGUAGCGGGUGGGUGACUGGGCCGCAUAUUGCUCCAUAUUCGAUGUUUACUGUUCCAGGGACGAUUGUUUUUCCUGCUGCUCCUCUGGCCAAUGUGUUCACGACUGCAGAUUUUUCUGCCAGGAACAUGACGUGGUCCCGUAGUGCAUCGAGGUCUUUUGGGUAUAUAUUCCGCUCGUGGCCAACGACGAUGGUGCUGAAUAUCGCCACGUUUGGCGCACGUCCGGGCGGAGUUCCUGUGGUGCGAUUCCUUUGCCAAACGGGUAGUUCCGAGUAGCAUUUUGUUUUUUUACGUGCAUGUUAUCAGUAAAAAUAAAUAUCAUGAAUGCUACUUGAGUUAUAAUUAUAUACAUAUAUGCAUACGUACUGGUAAGUAGUAUAGAUGAGAUUUGUUUUAUUGUUAUACAUAUAUAAGUAUAUGUUAUCAAUAGGAAUAAAUAUUACAAAUGUACCUUGUCUUCGAGUAUAUAUAUAUAUGUGCGUGCAAUGGUAAAUAUGACGGCUUAUUUUUAUGAGUCACUUGCAUUAUCAAUGGAAGUGAAUGUUAUAAAUAUCGCCUACUUUACAACAUGCGUGUAUAUAUAUAUUGGUGAACAUAAGUGAAAAUUAUAUGCAUAGUUAUAAAUGUUGUUUGUUUACAGGCGGAUAGCAUCAGUACUUUGUUUCGUGAGUGGCGUACCAAUACUUUACAGUUCCACUGUGCGGAUUGCUAUUCAUGUUCUUCCGUCCGUCGUUCAGAGAAUGGUUGAUGAGUUCGCCAUCAGUUCUGUACACACAUAUAAAAAUAGUUAAUAUAUAUAUAUAUAUAUAUAUCGUUUAUAUAAUUUUCUUUUGGAUCUGUUCCCUUGUACGAAUACUGUAUCCCUGUAUAUAAUAUAAUAUAUAUAUAAUAUGUUAUAA